rnacentral:rRNA from 1 species
AUUGAACGCUGGCGGCAGGCCUAACACAUGCAAGUCGAGCGGAUGAAGGGAGCUUGCUCCUGGAUUCAGCGGCGGACGGGUGAGUAAUGCCUAGGAAUCUGCCUGGUAGUGGGGAUAACGUUCGGAAACGGGCGCUAAUACCGCAUACGUCCUGAGGGAGAAAGUGGGGGAUCUUCGGACCUCACGCUAUCAGAUGAGCCUAGGUCGGAUUAGCUAGUUGGUGGGGUAAAGGCCUACCAAGGCGACGAUCCGUAACUGGUCUGAGAGGAUGAUCAGUCACACUGGAACUGAGACACGGUCCAGACUCCUACGGGAGGCAGCAGUGGGGAAUAUUGGACAAUGGGCGAAAGCCUGACCCAGCCAUGCCGCGUGUGUGAAGAAGGUCUUCGGAUUGUAAAGCACUUUAAGUUGGGAGGAAGGGCAGUAAGUUAAUACCUUGCUGUUUUGACGUUACCAACAGAAUAAGCACCGGCUAACUUCGUG